rnacentral:misc_RNA from 1 species
CAAGUGACCCCGGUCUAACCACCGGGAUGUUUCAUAACCCUUUGUUGUCCGACUCUGUUGCCUCCGGGGCGACCCUGCCUUCGGGGCGGGGGCUCCGGGUGGACACUUCAAACUCUUGCGUAACUUUGCAGUCUGAGUAAACUUAAUUAAUAAAUUAA